rnacentral:SRP_RNA from 1 species
GCUGGGCACGGUGGCGCGUGCCUGUAAUCCCAGCUACUCAGGAGGCUGAGACAGGAGAAUUGCUUGAACCUGGGAGGCGGAGGUUGCAGUGAGCUGAGAUCACGCCACUGCACUCCAACCUGGAUGACAGAGCAAGACUCUGUCUCAA